GGUUCGAUCCUGGCUCAGAUUGAACGCUGGCGGGAUGCUUUACAUGCAAGUCGAACGGCAGCACGGACUUCGGUCUGGUGGCGAGUGGCGAACGGGUGAGUAAUGUAUCGGAACGUGCCUAGUAGCGGGGGAUAACUACGCGAAAGCGUAGCUAAUACAUACGCCCUUCGGGGAAAAGCGGGGGACCUUCGGGCCUCGCGCACUAUUAAGAGCGGCCGAUAUCCGGAUUAGCUAGUUGGUGGGGGUAACGGCUCACCAAGGCGACGAUCCGUAGCUGGUUUGAAGAGAGGACGACCAGCCACACUGGGACUGAGAUUUUUUGGCCCAGACUCCUACAGGAGGCAGCGGUGGGGAAUUUUUGGACGAAUGGGGAAACCCUGAUCCAGCCAUCCCGCGCGUGUGCGAUGAAGGCCUUCGGGUUGUAAAAAGCACUUUUUGGCAGGAAAGAAACGGCACGGGAUCAAUACCCGUGCAACUGACAGUACCUGCAGAAUAAGCACCGGCUAACUACGUGCCAGCAGCCGCGGUAAUACGUAGGGUGCAAGCGUUAAUCGCGAUUACUGGGCGUAAAGCGUGCGCAGGCGGUUCGGAAAGAAAGAUGUGAAAUCCCAGAGCUUAACUUUGGAACUGCAUUUUUAACUACCGAGCUAGAGUGUGUCAGAGGGAGGUGGAAUUCCGCGUGUAGCAGUGAAAUGCGUAGAUAUGCCGGAGGAACACCGAUGGCGAAGGCAGCCUCCUGGGAUAACACUGACGCUCAUGCACGAAGCGUGGGGAGCAAACAGGAUUAGAUACCCUGGUAGUCCACGCCCUAAACGAUGUCAACUAGCUGUUGGGGCCUUCGGGCCUUGAAGUAGCGCAACCCCAACGCGUGAGAUUGACCGCCUGCAGGGAGAGUACGGUCGCAAGAUUAAAACUCAAAGGAAUUGACGGGGACCCGCACAAGCGGUGGAUGAUGUGGAUUAAUUCGAUGCAACGCGAAGCCGCACCUACCCCUUGACAUGUCUGGAAUCCCGAAGAAGAGAUUUGGGAGUGCUCGCAAGAGAGCCGGAACACAGGUGCUGCAUGGCUGUCGUCAGCUCGUGUCCGUGAGAUGUUGGGUUAAGUCCCGCAACGAGCGCAACCCUUGUCAUUAGCUGCUACGAAAGGGAGCACUCUAAUGAGACUGCCGGUGACAAGCCGGAGGAUGGUGGGGAUGACGUCAAAGUCCUCAUGGCCCACUUAUGGGUAGGGCUUCACACGUCAUACAAUGGUCAGGACAGAGGGUCGCCAACCCCGCGAGGGGAGCCAAUCCCAGAAACCCGAUCGUAGUCCGGAUCGCAGUCUGCAACUCUCGACUGCGUGAAGUCGGAAUCGCUAGUAAUCGCGGAUCAGCAUGUCGCGGUGAAUGCGUUCCCGGGUCUUGUACACACCGCCCGUCACACCAUGGGAGUGGGUUUUACCAGAAGUAGUUAGCCUAACCGUAAGGAGGGCGAUUACCACGGUAGGAUUCAUGACUGGGGUGAAGUCGUAACAAAGGCCAA
rnacentral:rRNA from 1 species